GAUGAACGCUGGCGGCGUGCCUAAUACAUGCAAGUCGAGCGAACAGACGAGGAGCUUGCUCCUCUGACGUUAGCGGCGGACGGGUGAGUAACACGUGGAUAACCUACCUAUAAGACUGGGAUAACUUCGGGAAACCGGAGCUAAUACCGGAUAAUAUAUUGAACCGCAUGGUUCAAUAGUGAAAGACGGUUUUGCUGUCACUUAUAGAUGGAUCCGCGCCGCAUUAGCUAGUUGGUAAGGUAACGGCUUACCAAGGCGACGAUGCGUAGCCGACCUGAGAGGGUGAUAGGCCACACUGGAACUGAGACACGGUCCAGACCCCUACGGGAGGCAGCAGUAGGGAAUCUUCCGCAAUGGGCGAAAGCCUGACGGAGCAACGCCGCGUGAGUGAUGAAGGUCUUCGGAUCGUAAAACUCUGUUAUUAGGGAAGAACAAAUGUGUAAGUAACUAUGCACGUCUUGACGGUACCUAAUCAGAAAGCCACGGCUAACUACGUG
rnacentral:rRNA from 1 species